rnacentral:rRNA from 1 species
CCCUUAGACGUUCUGGGCCGCACGCGCGCUACACUGACCAGUGCAACAAGCAUCCGUCCUUGGCCGACAGGCCCGGGCAAUCUUUGAACGCUGGUCGUGAUGGGGAUAGACUUUUGCAAUUUUUGGUCUUCAACGAGGAAUUCCUAGUAAACGCAAGUCAUCAACUUGCAUUGAUUACGUCCCUGCCCUUUGUACACACCGCCCGUCGCACCUACCGAUUGAAUGGUCCGGUGAAGCCUCCGGAUUGGCGCGCACCCCGGUGCCGCCGAGAAGUUGGCUAAACCUUAUCAUUUAGAGGAAGGUGAAGUCGUAACA